UUUUUUUUUUUUGCAAUUUUAAUGGCUACUGCUUACAGGUAAAGAAAACAUAAGAUGACUGACAAGAAAUAUUCCACUUUGCACAGCAUUCUAACUUGUUUUGAUGUGAUACUUUCUGGCUCCUUUUGAUGAACUGCCGUUGAAUGAUUGGUCGUUGGUCCAACUUGUUCUGCUGUGAGCCCAACAUAAGCUGGGUUUCCAUUACAAAUAUGUGCAAAACUUUGUCAAUAGUAAGCUAAACAAUAUCAAAAUCCCCCUCACAAUUUCGGAAUUGCAGUUUCUAGCCCAAAAACCUUUUAUUAAUAAACUUGAGUGUUUCCUUUUUAAAAUUUCCGUGUUUCCAUUAAGCGGAUCUAUUUGCAUAAUUCCAAUUUGCGCAAUUUGAAGGUCAAUGGAAACGCAACCGUAGACCCACAGCUGUCUUCACAGCACCGAAUGAUGAUGAUCCACCUUUUGUUUUGUGUGGAUGGUGCCUUUUCUUUUUAUCGUCCGAACAUGCCAUUUCAGUUUGUGUUCUCUGACCUUUUUUAACUCCUAGCAGCUAAGCAUCCACAUUUAGCAUGACUUUGAUGUGUCUCACCUCAGAGGACUGCAGAGAAUCCCGACUGAGGGCGAGCGUGUGGUUCCUCUGCUGACAGAUUAUUAUUGUCACACAUUGCUAGUUCUAAGUCUGUUUUGAGAUGCUGUACAUAACCACAUUUUAAGACUUCCUCAUUGAGAUACUAAUAAGAUAAUUGUCUUCUAAUGCACUGUUGUUGCUAAGAUACCUUACAUAGUGAUAAGUUGAAAGAAAGUAUUUACUGUUCUUUAUUGUCUCGCUUUGGACACUAAAGUUCCUGGCAGUGCACACUAUUAAACUCUGGUGCACCAUGGGCCACUCUCCUUCUCUUCUCGCUGUUUUUGAAUAGUGUUGCAUGUGCCUGCCUUUUUUCCAGUUGAGAACGUUAGCACUUAUUGUCCCACAGUUUGUACAGACGGACAGAUGCUCCACCCGCACAGCUCAGUUCCUGCCAUUCCUGCCGUGCCAAGCGUCCAUCGGUUCUUUAAGCCCUCCCGCACUGUUAAGAGACAGGAUCUGUUCAACCCCAUGAGCUUUUUACCUUGUGUGGGGUUGCACUGACCCUUCAUGUGCUUCUACAAGCAUGUGUGUGUGUGUGUGCGUGUGUGUGUGAGAGAGAGAGUUGGCCUGCACAUGACUUUGGAAUCUACAUAUGGCCUAUAUGUGUUGUCUUUUUUCAUAGCGUUUAUAGAUGAGGCAGCAACAGCCCGCGCAGGAAAAUCAGAUGUUUAUUUAGCUGCUUUUAGCAAACUUGUCCAAAUGUCACUGUACAAAUGACUGUUAAUGAGAAAAAAGUCAUGUAUAUUUAUUUUAUAUCCUCUAUAAUAAAAACCUCUUUUGUCUGA